AAAUAAAAUCUCACACACAUAAUUCUGACUUUAAAGUCAGAAUUCUGACUUUGUGACGUUCGUGGAGCUAUGAAUUGUGUGGG